rnacentral:lncRNA from 1 species
AUAACUUAUAAAUAGAACUUGCUGAGUUCAUUAAGUUCUUUUCGCACAGGUAUUUAUUUAGGGCUGACCACUUGGAAUGGCAUAGCCUAUCUGGGGAUUUUUCCUUGGAGAAAACAGAUUCCUCUUCUCUUAAUUACCUGAAGGGAAACUGUUACUUCAGUAGGAAAAUUCUUCUACCUUGAACUUGAGAGCUUGCAACCUACCCCCGAGUCUUCCUUUCAGGCCUGCUUCUUUUUGUCUCGCCUCUCACUUUGUUAUGUGAUAGAAAAUCUUCCAUAGUCUUGAGAAUCAUGAUUUUUUUUUUAAGUUUGAUAUGCACAGAACACAAAUUAAAUGUAACAAUUAUUUGUGGUAAGCCACUUUCCUGAUGCUGGAAGAAUGAUUUUUCUUUGCUUCUGAUAAAAAUCCAAAGUCAUUGAAAAAGCUGAUUCAACUAAGUCUUCAGUGAAAAACCAGUUCUGUAAACUCUGCCAUGCUCAUUUACUGAAGUUAUCCCAUGUUUGGCCCGAAUAUGAAAAUUUUUUGAAACAUAAACUUACUUCACUGUGUUUAAAGGCAAGAAUAUGGAAUAAAAGCAGAGAGUGUUAAGCCAGCAUUCCCAGGUCACUUGUAAAGAUGAGCAUGCAUAGACCCUUCUGUCAAGACCCUGAUCCUGGACCAAAUUAUAACCCAAAAUUUGGUGAAGCACAUACCAGGAUGUGCAUAUUAAUUUUUAUUCAUAAACUUAACCAAAUAUUACUCACUCUACACAGAACAGAUGGAAACAGCCAUUUCUUUUCUGGACUCAGAAUAUUGAAUUAUGAGAGGUCAGGGAAAAAUUCUCAAUGAUGAUCAAGACAGAAUUACUAGGGAAACAAUAUAAGAAACCAGUGAAUUUAUGUAUGAUUGGUUGUUUUUACUCUUAUACAUUUUUAGUAAUUCACAAACAUCAUAGAUUACUUCUAUCAAAGACAUACAUAUGUAACAUAUUCCUAAUAUUUCAUCCUUUCAUUUAGAAAUACACAUGGUCUUCAAUCUUUUUUUUAUUAGAAAUUUUCUUUACUUACAUUUCAAAUGCUAUCCCGAAAGUUCCCUAUAUGCUACCCCGCCCUGCUCCUUGUCUUCUAUCUUAAUUAUGUGAAUUAUGUAAUUUCUAAUGUUACUUUCAGUUCAUUAUUUUGCUUGGCUAUAAACGUUACAUUUAUUUGAACUUAGGAUAUUUGUAAUACUCAGAGAACUUUAUACUAUGCAUCCUCCCUGCUCAAUGUAAAUGAUAUUCAUCCAUGUGUUGGUAACACACAACUGGACAGCUGUAUCCUGUGACCCUGAUGUAUCC